AGGAUUAGAUCGAUACUCACAUUUCGUCUUGGCUUGAGGGAGGUCGCUCCCCCUCGAGCGGUGCGCUCCGGAGUUGGUCACUACUGGGCGUGGUAAAGUCCCACCAGUUGACGGUCCCUAGGGAGGUUCGAGUCCCCCGUUAUUAAGGGAUUUUGGGUUGUGAGUUAUUGGGGUUAAUAGAGUUAACCGGUAAGAUUGGGUAAGAGCCAAAGUUUGAUUAUGAUUGGAGCAUGCAUGCAUUUCCAUUUUCGCAUUGAAAUUGUAUAUCUACUGACUUCUUUCUUGCAGGCAUAGUAUUAGUUGCAUUAGUAAUGGUUACUUUUCUUCCUUUGAAAUACUUAUGCCUGGAUAGACCUAGUGGGUAAGUCGGCGAGGUCGGAUGCCGAGCCCACUGGGAACUUCGUUGUAGUUCUCACACCACUAACCCUACAGGUCCUAGCACGAGCGGGGCGGCGGAGGACCGAGGCAAGGGUUUGGCGCCGUAGGUAGCGGCCACCAGGACUUUUUGCAUUUUGUAGUCAUUCCCUUUUGUUAUAAAUGUAUCAACUUUAUUUUGUUGAUUUAGAAAUGAAAAGUGUAAACAAUCAUGUAUUUGGUGGAUGACUAAAUGUAAAAGAUAUAUUGGGUUGAAUGGAAUGUAAUAGCUUUGUUUACUUGAAUUUGGUUUAAAUGAAAUCAAAUAUCAUGUGUGAUUUAUAUUUAGCUUAGAGCUUUCGCUUCCGUUGUUGCUUGCCCUCGUGCGAGCCUUCUAUUAUAUAUGCAAUUCUCUUGUUGAUUGCUUAAUUAUACGUGUUGUUAGAGCCUUGGGCGGAGAGGGGAGGCUCUGUCUGUUCGGCGUCUGUCGAC
rnacentral:lncRNA from 1 species